rnacentral:misc_RNA from 1 species
GAGAGCUGACAGCGGGAGGGACAUUACAGAGUUGCAAAACUCCCCAAACCAUUGUGAACAUACCCCCAAAACCGUUGCUUCGGCGGGCGGCACCCCCGGGCCUCCCGGUAGUGUAGUGUCCCUCGGCCCCCUCCGCGGGGCGUCCGCCGGAGGAUUAUACAACACCCUAUUUGCUCUGUACGGCCUCUCUGAGUCUUCUGUACUGAAUAAGUCAAAACUUUCAACAACGGAUCUCUUGGUUCUGGCAUCGAUGAAUAAACGCAGCAA